UGCAUACUUAACGGUGAUGGUACUCCA
rnacentral:piRNA from 1 species